rnacentral:siRNA from 1 species
UCGAUGAUGGUGACAUGUUGUUGC